rnacentral:rRNA from 1 species
UGCGUAGGGUGCGAGCGUUGUCCGGAAUUACUGGGCGUAAAGAGUUCGUAGGCGGUUUGUCGCGUCGUUCGUGAAAACUUGGGGCUUAACUCCAAGCGUGCGGGCGAUACGGGCAGACUUGAGUACUACAGGGGAGACUGGAAUUCCUGGUGUAGCGGUGAAAUGCGCAGAUAUCAGGAGGAACACCGGUGGCGAAGGCGGGUCUCUGGGUAGUAACUGACGCUGAGGCACGAAAGCGUGGGGAGCAAACAGG